UUUUGCCCCAGAUAGCAGUGAAAAGCUUCGAGAUUUAUAGAUUUAUUUUUUCUUGAGAUGGCAGAGCGACUCCCGAAGUCUCGGGAUAAGCUCCUGCUGGCUCAUUAGAAAAAAAGAUUUAUAAACGAGAACUUGUAACGAAUAGCUGGAAUAGGC
rnacentral:sRNA from 1 species